UCCCAUGUAGCCAAGCGGCAAGGCGUCGCACUGUUAAUGCGAAGACCGCAGGUUCGAAUCCUGCCGUGGGAG
rnacentral:tRNA from 1 species